UACGUAGGGUGCAAGCGUUGUCCGGAAUUAUUGGGCGUAAAGAGCUCGUAGGCGGUUUGUCGCGUCGGCUGUGAAAACUCGGGGCUCAACCCCGAGCCUGCAGUCGAUACGGGCAAACUAGAGUGCUGUAGGGGAGACUGGAAUUCCUGGUGUAGCGGUGAAAUGCGCAGAUAUCAGGAGGAACACCGGUGGCGAAGGCGGGUCUCUGGGCAGUAACUGACGCUGAGGAGCGAAAGCGUGGGGAGCGAACGGG
rnacentral:rRNA from 1 species